AACGCACGAGACCUGCGGACCUGCGGAGGGAUCAUUACCGAGUUUACAACUCCCAAACCCAAUGUGAACCAUACCAAACUGUUGCCUCGGCGGGGUCACGCCCCGGGUGCGUCGCAGCCCCGGAACCAGGCGCCCGCCGGAGGGACCAACCAAACUCUUUUCUGUAGUCCCCUCGCGGACGUUAUUUCUUACAGCUCUGAGCAAAAAUUCAAAAUGAAUCAAAACUUUCAACAAUGGAUC
rnacentral:misc_RNA from 1 species